CACGUAGGGUGCGAGCGUUGUCCGGAAUUAUUGGGCGUAAAGCGUCCGCAGGUGGCUAUGUAAGUCUGCUGUUAAAGAGUGAGGCUCAACCUCAUAAGAGCAGUGGAAACUACAUGGCUAGAGUGCGUUCGGGGCAGAGGGAAUUCCUGGUGUAGCGGUGAAAUGCGUAGAUAUCAGGAAGAACACCGGUGGCGAAAGCGCUCUGCUAGGCCGCAACUGACACUGAGGGACGAAAGCUAGGGGAGCGAAUGGG
rnacentral:rRNA from 1 species